GCAAGGCGAGGAAGCCAACAGGACAGUGACUCAGGAUGAGUUGUCAGGAGCGCCAGGAGGCGAAGACCCGGGAGUGAUGUCAGGAUGACAAACGUCUGGAGACGUUUUGACAAGGAAAGGGAUGUAACAGGGACCGUUAUUUGCUAAAGGAAAGACAGGGUACGUCGUAAGCUAACAGGGAAAGUAGAACCCGCUAAGGGUUGUCAGUGAGGAAAAAGGCGGCAGAGUAAUCUGUCGCCUUUUUUCUUUGCUUGCUU
rnacentral:sRNA from 1 species